rnacentral:rRNA from 1 species
CGGGGCUAAUACCGGAUAACACAUGAAACCGCAUGGUUUCAUGAUGAAAGACGGUUUUGCUGUCACUUAUAGAUGGACCCGCGGCGUAUUAGCUAGUUGGUAAGGUAACGGCUUACCAAGGCAACGAUGCGUAGCCGACCUGAGAGGGUGAUCGGCCACACUGGAACUGAGACACGGUCCAG